UCCUCAGUCCAACUUCUCAAAAUGAGGCUCCCUGCUCAGUUGAUGUGGCUGCUGGUGCUCUGGGUCCCUGGAUCCAGUGGAGAUAUUGUGAUGACCCAGACUCCACUGUCCCUGCCAGUCACCCCUGGAGAGCCGGCCUCCAUCUCCUGCAGGUCUAGCCAGAGCCUCCUGCAUAGCAAUGGAAACACGUAUUUGCAAUGGUACCUGCAGAAGCCAGGCCAGUCUCCACAGCCCCUGAUUUAUAGGGUUUCCAACCGGUUCUCUGGGGUCCCAGACAGGUUCAGUGGCAGUGGGGCAGGGACAGAUUUUACGUUGAAAAUCAGCAGAGUGGAGGCUGCGGAUGUAGGGGUUUAUUACUGCAUGCAAGGUAUACAAUUUCCUCUCACUUUCGGCCAGGGCACCAAGCUGGAGAUCAAACGAGCUCAGGCUCAGCCAUCUGCCUACAUCUUCCCGCCAAAUGAGGAGCAGUUGCGGUCUGGAACCGCCACUGUCGUGUGCAUGAUAAACGGCUUCUACCCCGAAGAGAUCGAUGUCAAGUGGAAGGUGGAUGGUGCUGUCCGAACAAAUGAUGUCCAGAACACUCUCACGGAGCAGAACAGCGAGGACAACACCUAUAGCCUCAGCAGCACCCUGACGUUGCCCUCUACAGAGUACAGCCGGCACAAUCUCUAUACCUGUGAGGUCACUCAUCAGAGCCUGGGCUCGCCCCUCAGCAAGAGCUUCAAUAAGCAAGAGUGUUAGAGGGAGAUGCCCCCCAGGCCCAGACUGGGCUCCUCCCUUCCUUAGGCCUUGGGCCUUUUUCCCCCUGCAAGGGACCUACCCCUAGUGCACUCCUCCAGCCCCUCUCCCUGCCUCAUACCCCCUCCUCCUCCUCCUUGGCUUCAAUCAUGCUAAUACUUGGGGGGGGGGAUGAAUAAAU